AUUGAACGCUGGCGGCAGGCCUAACACAUGCAAGUCGAACGGUAGCACAGAGAGCUUGCUCUCGGGUGACGAGUGGCGGACGGGUGAGUAAUGUCUGGGAAACUGCCUGAUGGAGGGGGAUAACUACUGGAAACGGUAGCUAAUACCGCAUAACGUCGCAAGACCAAAGAGGGGGACCUUCGGGCCUCUUGCCAUCAGAUGUGCCCAGAUGGGAUUAGCUAGUAGGUGGGGUAACGGCUCACCUAGGCGACGAUCCCUAGCUGGUCUGAGAGGAUGACCAGCCACACUGGAACUGAGACACGGUCCAGACUCCUACGGGAGGCAGCAGUGGGGAAUAUUGCACAAUGGGCGCAAGCCUGAUGCAGCCAUGCCGCGUGUAUGAAGAAGGCCUUCGGGUUGUAAAGUACUUUCAGCGGGGAGGAAGGUGUUGUGGUUAAUAACCACAGCAAUUGACGUUACCCGCAGAAGAAGCAC
rnacentral:rRNA from 1 species